rnacentral:misc_RNA from 1 species
UUUCCGUAGGUGAACCUGCGGAAGGAUCAUUACUGAGUGAGGGCCCUCUGGGCCCAACCUCCCACCCGUGUUUAUUAUACCUUGUUGCUUCGGUGAGCCCGCCUCACGGCCGCCGGGGGGCAUCUGCCCCCGGGCCCGCGCCCACCGAAGACACCUAGAACUCUGUAUGAAGAUUGCAGUCUGAGCAAAAACUAAAUAAGUUAAAACUUUCAACAACGGAUCUCUUGGUUCCG